GAGGGUAUAGCUCAGUAGCAGAGUGCAUGCCUAGCAUGCAUGAGGUCCUGGGUUCAAUCCCCAGUACUUCCA
rnacentral:tRNA from 1 species